rnacentral:rRNA from 1 species
GGCGCACGGGUGAGUAACGCGUGGGAACCUACCUAGUGGUACGGAAUAACGCAGGGAAACUUGUGCUAAUACCGUAUAAGCCCUUCGGGGGAAAGUUUUUCGCCAUUAGAUGGGCCCGCGUCAGAUUAGCUAGUUGGUGAGGUAAUGGCUCACCAAGGCGACGAUCUGUAGCUGGUCUGAGAGGAUGAUCAGCCACACUGGGACUGAGACACGGCCCAGACUCCUACGGGAGGCAGCAGUGGGGAAUAUUGGACAAUGGGGGAAACCCUGAUCCAGCCAUGCCGCGUGAGUGAUGAAGGCCUUAGGGUUGUAAAGCUCUUUCACCGGUGAAGAUAAUGACGGUAGCCGGAGAAGAAGCCCCGGCUAACUCCGUGCCAGCGGCCGCGG